rnacentral:rRNA from 1 species
UCCAGACUCCUACGGGAGGCAGCAGUGGGGAAUCUUCCGCAAUGGGCGAAAGCCUGACGGAGCAACGCCGCGUGAUCGAAUGAAGGCCUUCGGGUUGUAAAGAUCUGUUGACAGGGACGAAUAAGCAAUGCGAAUAGUUUUGUGUAUGACGGUACCUGUUUAGAAAGCUCCGGCUAACUACGUGCCAGCAGCCGCGGUAAUACGUAGGGAGCAAGCGUUGUCCGGAAUUACUGGGCGUAAAGGGCGCGUAGGUGGGCGCUUAAGUCAGGUGUGAAAACUCCGGGCUCAACCUGGAGACUGCACUUGAAACUGGGUGUCUUGAGGGCAGGAGAGGAAAGUGGAAUUCCUAGUGUAGCGGUGAAAUCCGUAGAUAUCUGGAGGAACAUCAGUGGCGAAGGCGACUAUCUGGCACAUAACUGACGCUGAGGAGCGAAAGCGUGGGUAGCAAACAGGAUUAGAUACCCCUGUAAA